rnacentral:rRNA from 1 species
UACGAAGGGGGCUAGCGUUGCUCGGAAUCACUGGGCGUAAAGCGCACGUAGGCGGCUUGUUAAGUCAGGGGUGAAAUCCUGGAGCUCAACUCCAGAACUGCCUUUGAUACUGGCGAUCUCGAGUUCGGGAGAGGUGAGUGGAACUGCGAGUGUAGAGGUGAAAUUCGUAGAUAUUCGCAAGAACACCAGUGGCGAAGGCGGCUCACUGGCCCGAUACUGACGCUGAGGUGCGAAAGCGUGGGGAGCAAACAGG